UACGGAGGGAGCUAGCGUUGUUCGGAAAUACUGGGCGUAAAGCGCACGUAGGCGGCGCCGUAAGUCAGGGGUGAAAUCCCGGGGCUCAACCCCGGAACUGCCCUUGAAACUGCAGUGCUAGAAUCUUGGAGAGGCGAGUGGAAUUCCGAGUGUAGAGGUGAAAUUCGUAGAUAUUCGGAAGAACACCAGUGGCGAAGGCGACUCGCUGGACAAGUAUUGACGCUGAGGUGCGAAAGCGUGGGGAGCAAACAGG
rnacentral:rRNA from 1 species